rnacentral:rRNA from 1 species
AUUGAACGCUGGCGGCAGGCCUAACACAUGCAAGUCGAACGGUAGCACAGAGAGCUUGCUCUCGGGUGACGAGUGGCGGACGGGUGAGUAAUGUCUGGGAAACUGCCCGAUGGAGGGGGAUAACUACUGGAAACGGUAGCUAAUACCGCAUAACGUCGCAAGACCAAAGUGGGGGACCUUCGGGCCUCACACCAUCGGAUGUGCCCAGAUGGGAUUAGCUAGUAGGUGGGGUAAUGGCUCACCUAGGCGACGAUCCCUAGCUGGUCUGAGAGGAUGACCAGACAAACUGGAACUGGUACACGGUCCAGACUCCUACGGGAGGCAGAAGUAGGGAAUAUUGCACAAUGGGCGCAAGCCUGAUGCAGCCAUGCCGCGUGUAUGAAGAAGGCCUUCGGGUCGUAAAGUACUUUCAGCGGGGAGGAAGGCGGUGAAGUUAAUAGCUUCACCGAUUGACGUUACCCGCAGAAGAAGCACCGGCUAACUCCGUGCCAGCCGCCGCCGUAA